rnacentral:rRNA from 1 species
UACGGAGGGGGCUAGCGUUAUCCGGAAUUACUGGGUGUAAAGCGCGCGUAGGCGGAUCGAUCAGUCAGGGGUGAAAGCCUAGCGCUUAACGAUAGAAUUGCCUUUGAUACUGGCAAUCUUGAACGGGGAUGAGGCCAGCAGAAUGUGGAGUGUAGCGGUGAAAUGCGUAGAUAUUCGGCGGAACACCGAUGGCGAAGGCGGCUCGCUGGUCCCUUUUUGACGCUGAGGCGCGAAAGCGUGGGGAGCAAACAGG